rfam:Triticum aestivum genome assembly, contig: Triticum_aestivum_CS42_TGACv1_scaffold_433823_5DL
UUAAUACUCCCUCUGUCCGGAAUUACUUGUCCACAAAUGGAUAAAAGUGGAUGUAUUUAAAACUAAAAUAUGUGUAGAUACAUCCAUUUCUAUGAUAGGUAUUUCCGGACGGAGGGAAUAUGUC